ACUCAGCACUGGGUGUAAAGCGUGCGCAGGCGGUUUUGUAAGACAGAGGUGAAAUCCCCGGGCUCAACCUGGGAACUGCCCUUGUGACUGCAAGGCUGGAGUGCGGCAGAGGGGGAUGGAAUUCCGCGUGUAGCAGUGAAAUGCGUAGAUAUGCGGAGGAACACCGAUGGCGAAGGCAAUCCCCUGGGCCUGCACUGACGCUCAUGCACGAAAGCGUGGGGAGCAAACA
rnacentral:rRNA from 1 species